rnacentral:ncRNA from 1 species
UCAAAGGCUGUGACAGGGAGAAGUAUCCUUUUAUUCCCGGACAAGAGAGAGGACGGUUGGUGUGAGUCCUUGCGGGGGAGGGGAGAAGGCGCCCUGGAGCUGCGGAGCGGAAAUGCUUCGCCGGUCCCCGCCGUUAUUGGGCAGAGUGUCCCCCAUGGGGGAAAUUCAGGUGGAACCACGGACUAACAAAGUUCGCCCUGAGC